rnacentral:rRNA from 1 species
GACUCGUAGCGGCGUGCUUACACAUGCAAGUCGUAACCGAAGGUAACGCUGUAAGGGCGGGGAUUAGUGGCGAACGGGUGAGUAACACGUGGGCAAUCUGCCCUGCACUCUGGGACAAGCCCUGGAAACGGGGUCUAAUACCGGAUAUGACUGUCCGCCGCAUGGUGGAUGGUGUAAAGCUCCGGCGGUGCAGGAUGAGCCCGCGGCCUAUCAGCUUGUUGGUGAGGUAGUGGCUCACCAAGGCGACGACGGGUAGCCGGCCUGAGAGGGCGACCGGCCACACUGGGACUGGUAGACCACGGCCCAGACUAAUACGGUGAGGCAGCUAGGUGUGGGCAACAUUCCACAAUGUCCGUGCCGAAAGCCUAACGCAUUAAGCGACCCCGCCUGAGGGAGUGACGGCCGUCAAGGCUAUAAACCUCAAAGGAAUUCACGCAGGCCCGAACAAGCGACGGAGCAUGACGGCUUAACUGCAGAAGCAAGCGCCGAAGCUAACCUUACCAAGUGCCAGACAGACACGCGGUAAUACGUAGGGAGACAAGCGCCCCCUUGUCGUCGGAAUGUACAGGUGCGUAAAUGAGCUCGUAGGCAGCUCGUGUCACGUCAGAUGUUGGGAUAAGUCCCGCAACGAGCGCUUAACCCCGGGUCCGCAGUCGAUACCAGCAGGCCCUAGAGUUCGGUAGCUGGGAGACUCACGGGAGAUUCCUGCCGUAGCGGUCA